UGGAGCGGCGAACGGGUGAGUAACACGUGGGCAACCUGCCCUCAGCUCUGGGAUAACUCCGGGAAACCGGGGCUAAUACCGGAUAUGACCUUUCAUCUCAUGGUGUUUGGUGGAAAGUUUUUCGGCUGAGGAUGGGCCCGCGGCCUAUCAGCUUGUUGGUGGGGUAAUGGCCUACCAAGGCGACGACGGGUAGCCGGCCUGAGAGGGCGACCGGCCACACUGGGACUGAGACACGGCCCAGACUCCUACGGGAGGCAGCAGUGGGGAAUAUUGCGCAAUGGGCGAAAGCCUGACGCAGCGACGCCGCGUGAGGGAUGAAGGCCUUCGGGUUGUAAACCUCUUUCAGCAGGGACGAAGCGAAAGUGACGGUACCUGCAGAAGAAGCACCGGCCAACUACGUGCCAGCAGCCGCGGUAAUACGUAGGGUGCAAGCGUUGUCCGGAAUUAUUGGGCGUAAAGAGCUCGUAGGCGG
rnacentral:rRNA from 1 species